rnacentral:lncRNA from 1 species
UGAAAGCAGGAUGCGGCCACGCCCCCCGGGUGGCAACAUUGUGAUUGGACCGUGGACGCGCUGGGUGUGCUGACCGGGGCGCAGCUUUUCUCGCUGCAGAAGGAGGAGCUGCGGGCGGUGAGCCCCGAGGAGGGGGCACGUGUGUACAGCCAGGUCACCGUGCAGCGCUCGCUGCUGGAGGACAAAGAGAAAGUGUCAGAGCUGGAGGCAGUGAUGGAGAAGCAAAAGAAGAAGGUGGAAGGCGAGGUGGAAAUGGAGGUCAUUUGACCUGCCAGGCGCCCUUCGCAAAGAGUGACGAGGCCCCGUGGGAGAACGGACUCCUCAGACUCUCCCCAAUAGCGGAAGUCGAUCUUCUGAAGGAUGGCCAAUCUGCUCCGGCCCUGGUCUUCCCCCAUCCCGGUGGACAGACUUAACGAUCCUUGCUGCAGUCCCUCCGGAGAGGAUCUGGACUGGCUGGGAGUGGGGAGGGCGUGGAGACAGUCUACGGAAAGCGCUAGCAGACCCCCGAGAGGGUGCAGUGGAGCCCUGAGCAUUGUAAUAUGCGGCCCAGCCUAUAAA